UUUUCUAAAAAAGUUCUCUCAUCUCUAGAUCCACACCACCGCCUAGCCACAUACCUUCUCCGUUGACAUGGCCUCGUCUCCUCCGUCUUCCACCGUUAAAGGUACUAGCCUAUUCCUCCUCGUCUUCUCUCCACAUCUUCUUCUCCUCCCUCCCUUCUCUUCUUCACUUCUUGAUGAAAUUAAGCCUUAUGGAUUGAAUUGAUGUGUCAAGGAGAUGAAUUCGCACAAGAUGAAUUGAAUCGGUAAGGAGAUCGGAAACCAGAUGAUGGUGACAAGAAGGAGAAGAAGUUCGAACGAGUCUCACCACCUGCUCGUGUUGGGAGGAAGCAACGGAAGCAGAAAGGACUUGAAGCGGCGGCUAAACUGAAGCGAUCACUACAUAAAUGAUUGGGUCAUGACCCUCUAUUUCCUUGAUUCGAGUAAGUUCCUUCAUCUUCCCGCAGACUCAAUGACUCCUCCACUGUUCGUAGAUCUCCCGUCUUCGUUGUCCAGGAAGUUGUCAAGGAGAUGAAAUCCACCAAUAGCCUAGUAUGCUUCCACUUUCUCGUCUCUCAUGCUUGUAAAUUUAUGCGUGCUUUGAUUUGUUGUUUUGAAAUUGAUUUUAUUCACUGUAUUUCUAAGGGGUUACAUUUUUAGAGUUCUCUGUGCAUACAAGGUGUUCGACGAAUUGACUGUGAGAC
rnacentral:lncRNA from 1 species